UACGUAGGGUGCAAGCGUUGUCCGGAAUUAUUGGGCGUAAAGAGCUCGUAGGCGGUCUGUUGCGUCGGCUGUGAAAACCUGGGGCUCAACCCCGGGCCUGCAGCCGAUACGGGCAGACUAGAAUUCGGCAGGAGAGACUGGAAUUCCUGGUGUAGCGGUGAAAUGCGCAGAUAUCGGGAGGAACACCAGUGGCGAAGGCGGCUAUCUGGACGACAACUGACGCUGAGGCGCGAAAGCGUGGGGAUCAAACAGG
rnacentral:rRNA from 1 species